AUUCGAGGCGACGGGCUCCGGGCCCUGAUAGAUGGGGUGCGGGGACGGAGACAAAUGACGGCCUUUGGGCUCGGAAUACCCACCUUUCUGGUAAUGCAGCCCAGCGGGUCCCAGCCUCGUUUUCCAGCCCUCACUCAAAAUGGAGUCGCUCUGGUUCGAACGCCUCUGACAAGUGUGUACCUACGUGUCAGGCCCAUCCUUCCUGCAGGCCUUUGUCUUGGUGUCACCCUGCCUGAGCUGGCCCCAACCACAGUAGCAACAGUGAUGCUGAUGUGUGACUGCUGCCAGGAGCCUGCUCACAUGACCGUGUGGAGAAAGUUCUUUCCCUGAGGACCAUCUGGAGUGGACGCGUGCACUACCCCUCUCUGAAUACACCCUCCCCACGAGGCCCUCUGGAGCAUCCUGUAGAGCCAGCCCCUACCCAGAGACCCUGAGCCCAGAGAAUGCGCUGGGUGGUGAGCCUGGGGACGAAUGCAGAGCCCUAGGUCUCCUCUCCAGAAGUUGGAGUGCCAUGGUGUGGUCAUAGCCCACUGAAGCCUCAAACCUCUGGGCUGAAGCCAUCCUUCCGCCUCAGCCUCCCAAGUAGCUGGGACCAUAGGUGCAUGGCACUGUGCCUGGCACUGUCUGAAUGCAUACAGCUGGGCUUCUCAGAGCGUUUGCAGAUGUGGACAGUUGGUCUCCAGCCUAGGAAAGGAGUUUGCACAAUUUCCCAAACGGAUUUUAUGAACUGAUUUUGGUUUGGCUGCUAGGAGGUCCUAUCUGCAGUGGGGGCUGCUGGACCUGGGAGGCUGGGGUGCUGAGGCUCCUCUGCACACUCCACUUUGGGUGACAUUGUUCUAGAACCUCCAGGUCCAGCUUCCAGAGGACCAUGAGUGGGUAUGAUAAGGUUUGAAGUGGGGCCGGGCAUGGUGGCUCACGCCUGUAACCCCAGCACUUUGGGAGGCCGAGGCGGGCAGACUGCCUGAGCUUAGAAGUUCAAGACCAGCCUGGGCAACACAGUGAAAUCCCGUCUCUACUAAAAUACAAAAAAUUAGCUGGGCAUGGUCACGUGCUCCUGUAGUCCCAGCUACUUGGGAGGGUGAGGCAGGAGAAUUGCUUGAAUCCGGGAGGUAGAGGUUGCAGUGAGCCGAGAUCAUGCCACUGCACUCCAGCCUGGGCGACAGAGCAAGACUCCAUCUCAAAAAAAGAAAAGAAAAGAAAACGAAAGAAAAAAGAUAAGGUAUGAAGUGGAGUUCAUCUCCGGCGGCU
rnacentral:lncRNA from 1 species